rnacentral:rRNA from 1 species
AUUGAACGCUGGCGGCAUGCUUUACACAUGCAAGUCGAACGGUAACAGGCCGCAAGGUGCUGACGAGUGGCGAACGGGUGAGUAAUGCAUCGGAACGUGCCCAGUCGUGGGGGAUAACGCAGCGAAAGCUGCGCUAAUACCGCAUACGAUCUAUGGAUGAAAGCGGGGGACCGUAAGGCCUCGCGCGAUUGGAGCGGCCGAUGCCAGAUUAGGAAGGUGGUGGGGUAAAGGCUCACCAAGCAAACGAUCUGUAGCUGGUCUGAGAGGACGACCAGCCACACUGGGACUGAGACACGGCCCAGACUCCGACGGGAGGCAGCAGUGGGGAAUUUUGGACAAUGGGCGCAAGCCUGAUCCAGCAAUGCCGCGUGCAGGAAGAAGGCCUUCGGGUUGUAAACUGCUUUUGUACGGAACGAAAAGGCUCUGGUUAAUACCUGGGGCUCAUGACGGUACCGUAAGAAUAAGCACCGGCUAACUACGUGCCAGCAGCCGCCGUAAAAC